AUUGAACGCUGGCGGCAGGCUUAACACAUGUAAGUCGAGCGGAGAUGAGGUGCUUGCACCUUAUCUUAGCGGCGGACGGGUGAGUAAUGCUUAGGAAUCUGCCUAUUAGUGGGGGACAACAUUCCGAAAGGAAUGCUAAUACCGCAUACGUCCUACGGGAGAAAGCAGGGGAUCUUCGGACCUUGCGCUAAUAGAUGAGCCUAAGUCGGAUUAGCUAGUUGGUGGGGUAAAGGCCUACCAAGGCGACGAUCUGUAGCGGGUCUGAGAGGAUGAUCCGCCACACUGGGACUGAGACACGGCCCAGACUCCUACGGGAGGCAGCAGUGGGGAAUAUUGGACAAUGGGCGGAAGCCUGAUCCAGCCAUGCCGCGUGUGUGAAGAAGGCCUUUUGGUUGUAAAGCACUUUAAGCGAGGAGGAGGCUACCUGGAUUAAUACUCUAGGAUAGUGGACGUUACUCGCAGAAUAAGCACCGGCUAACUCUGUGCCAGCAGCCGCCGUAACAC
rnacentral:rRNA from 1 species